CCUACGGGAGGCAGCAGUGGGGAAUAUUGCACAAUGGGGGAAACCCUGAUGCAGCGACGCCGCGUGAGUGAAGAAGUAUUUCGGUACGUAAAGCUCUAUCAGCAGGGAAGAAAAUGACGGUACCUGACUAAGAAGCCCCGGCUAACUACGUGCCAGCAGCCGCGGUAAUACGUAGGGGGCAAGCGUUAUCCGGAUUUACUGGGUUUAAAGGGAGCGUAGACGGCAGCGCAAGUCUGGAGUGAAAUCCCAUGGCUUAACCAUGGAACUGCUUUGGAAACUGUGCAGCUAGAGUGCAGGAGAGGUAAGCGGAAUUCCUAGUGUAGCGGUGAAAUGCGUAGAUAUUAGGAGGAACACCAGUGGCGAAGGCGGCUUACUGGACUGUAACUGACGUUGAGGCUCGAAAGCGUGGGGAGCAAACAGGAUUAGAUACCCGAGUAGUC
rnacentral:rRNA from 1 species